GCUCGUAGAUGGGCGUUGAGAGCCAGGCUGCAGCCACAUAAUGGUCUGGACUGCGAUUGGAGAGAGCAAGUGCGCACGGACGCAGACGCAGGAGAUAUCGGAGGCAGGCACCGAACAGAACAGAGCUCAUCAUAGUAUCUGAUUUAACUGUAUUUGGGAAUCAAUUCAGAUUAUAAAGAAAAAACGUUCCAAUUGAGAAACGGAAGAAGGAGUGAAAAUGGGACAUACAGUGUUACCCAUUUUGAUGGCCGUAUUGUCCCAUUGCAUGUGGGGAAAUGUCGAGGCCUUGGCCGUGGCUGAGGUGAAUGGACCGGGGCCCCUGGUGGCCGAGCCGCAGAUUGCCAUGUUCUGUGGGCGUCAGCUGCUGCACAUGAUCCCUGAGACUGGCCAAUGGGAGCCUGACCCUCAGGGCCGCCAGGGCUGCUUCACAGAGCCCAACCAGAUCCUGUCCUACUGCCAAGAGAUGUACCCAGCCCUACAGAUCUCCCAUGUGGAGGAGUCCUCCAGCCCCGUCACCAUCCCAGCCUGGUGUAAGAAGGGCUGGGGCCACUGCCAGACACAGGCUCUCUCUCUCGCUCUCUCUCCCUCUCUCUCUCUCUCUCUCUGGCUCUCCUCUCUCUCUCUCGCAUCUCUCUCUCUCUCUCUCUCUCGUUCUCUCUCUCGCUGCUCUCGCUCUCUGCUCAUCGCUCUCGUCGCUCUCUCGCUCUCUCUCUCUCUCCUCGCUCUCUCGCUCUCUCUCUGCAGUGGCUACGUCUACUGCAGCAAACAUAGCCAAGGAGGUGCCUGCACAGCAGACAGUCUGGAGCUGCAUAGUUAUGGGAUGCUGUUGCCGUGCAGCGACCGUUUCCGUGGGGUGGAGUAUGUGUGCUGCCCGGGGAGGGGCGGGUCCAGUGGCAGGGGGGAGACCGAGGGAGGGGACGUUCUCCCAGCAGGACCCCAGGCCCUUAACCCUCAGGCCAAAGUCAACACAGGAGUCAAAGUGACAACACCCACCACAAGCCCCUCUCCUGACACCGAUGUGGACGCGGCAGACAUGGAUGAGGAAGAUGAUGAGAUGGUGGAAGAGGAUGAGCAGGUGGUGGAGGAGGAGGAGGAGGAGGCAGUAGAAGAUGAGGAGGAAGAUGAGGAGGAGGAGGAGGAGGAGGAGGAGGAGCAGCAGCAGGAGGUUGCAGAAGCAGCAGCAGUGAAAGAGGAGUAUGAGUACUCCAUUGACUCUGGCCCCUACCAGGCUACUGACUACACAGACUCCUUCUACUACGAGAAAGACCAGGGUCAGGCUGGUCGCAACCCCUCCACGUCCCCACCCCAGACCAGGGGAGACAGCCUACCCACCCCUCACCCCACAGAUGGCGUGGAUGUUUACUUCGAGAUGCCAGGGGACGACAGCGAACACGCCAACUUCCUGCGUGCCAAGAUGGACCUGGAGGAGCGGCGAAUGAAACGCAUCAAUGAGAUCAUGAAGGAAUGGGCUGAGGCUGACAACCAGUCCAAGAACCUGCCCAAGUCUGACCGCCAGGCCCUUAAUGAGCAUUUCCAGUCUGUGUUGCAGACUCUGGAGGAGCAGGUGGCAGGGGAGAGACAGAGGCUGGUGGAGACCCAUCUGGCCCGCGUGGUGGCCACCCUCAACAACAACCGCAGACUGGCCUUGGAGAGCUACCUGACCGCCGUGCAGGCCGAGCCCCCACAGCCGGAGCGGGUGCUGCAGGCUCUGAAGCGAUACAUGGCAGCAGAGCAGAAGGACCGCAGACACACUCUGAGACACUACCAGCACAUUGAGGCCGUCGACCCCCAGAAGGCUGAGCAGAUGAAGUUCCAGGUCUACACCCACCUCCAUGUGAUUGAGGAGAGGAUGAACCAAAGCUUGGCAUUACUCUACAAGGUCCCUGCCUUGGCUGAGGAGCUGCACGAUGAUAUCCAGGAGCUGGUGAAGGCGGAGCGAGGAGAUAUCAGUGAGCUCAUGACCACUUCCUUCUCUGAGACACGCACCACCGAGGAGCUGCUUCCUGCCGAGAGUGAGGAGGAGAAGGAUGACGAGGAGGAGGAGGAGAGAGCCUUCCAGAACAGGCCCUACCCACCUCGCAUCGCCUCUACAGACGAGUAUGACUAUGCCACAUCUGAGAGAAGCCCCACAUAUGAAUAUGAGGAGAAAGUAAGAAAAAACGUGUCAAAAAUAUUACAAACAUACACAUCACUUUACGGACAUGACGCCCUGGAGACGUUCAACCGUGGGGCCAUGGUGGGGUUGCUGGUGGUUGCCGUGGCCAUCGCCAUGGUGAUGGUGAUCAGUCUGUUGCUGGUGCGCAGGAAGCCGUAUGGCACCAUCAGCCACGGCAUCGUGGAGGUUGACCCCAUGCUGACCCCAGAGGAGCGCCAACUAAACAAGAUGCAGAACCACGGCUACGAAAACCCCACCUACAAAUUCUUUGAGCAAAUGAACUGAGGCAAUGGGUGUGGCCUCCCGGUCAUGCCCAAUCACACGAGGCGCUCCCUUUCCUUGUCCCCCUCCUAGAGGUGGUCCCAGUCACACCGCCUAUGAUGUAUUAAGAUGUAUCAUUACGACCAACACUUUAAUGUAACUUGACAAGCAAAUAGGGGGUAUACGCCCCAAACCUCUGACCAACCAUGUCCCCACAUCAGUUUUGGAAUGUAAACCAGUAACAGAGAUGUAUUACCAGCUGAUCCAUCCUCUUACUCUUCUGGUCUAGAAUAAAGGGGUGGACAUUAAUGCCA
ensembl:lncRNA